ACAAGCUUCAGAGAGUGAUCACAGAUCUUAAACGAAAGGAAAAGACAUUGAUUGAGAACAACAAGGAUUUGAAUCAGAAGAUUAAGAAUGCCAUCGAAGGUAAAUUGGGUUCGGAGCAACAAUUAGCACAAUUUCCUGAGCAUAAUCACAUUCCGAAUAGUGUUUCUUUUGACACUAAUCUCAGACUAGGGUUUAUUUAAUACCCUUGAAUUCAUCACUUAAUUAGUUGCAUGUAUUUUUUUCAACCCCUUUAAUGGAAUAAAAUAAGGGUGAGGUGUAUGUAUAUUUAUACCAAUAAAAUGCGUUCUCUCUAUUGUAAACUUUGACCAUAAUUUUGUUUAGUUUUGCGUGUUAAGUGUUUGGUACUAUGUAGAAAG